rnacentral:rRNA from 1 species
UGAUAUGACUUAGUGGCGGGCGGGUGAGUAACACGUGAGCAACCUGCCUUUCAGAGGGGGAUAACGGCUGGAAACGGUCGCUAAUACCGCAUGAUGUGUUCGGAUGGCAUCAUCUGAACAUCAAAGAUUUAUCGCUGAAAGAUGGGCUCGCGUCUGAUUAGAUAGUUGGUGGGGUAACGGCCUACCAAGUCAACGAUCAGUAGCCGGACUGAGAGGUUGAACGGCCACAUUGGGACUGAGAUACGGCCCAGACUCCUACGGGAGGCAGCAGUGGGGAAUAUUGCACAAUGGGGGAAACCCUGAUGCAGCAACGCCGCGUGAAGGAUGACGGUUUUCGGAUUGUAAACUUCUUUUCUUAGUGACGAAGACAGUGACGGUAGCUAAGGAAUAAGCAUCGGCUAACUACGUGCCAGCAGCCGCGGUAAUACGUAGGAUGCAAGCGUUAUCCGGAUUUACUGUGUGUAAAGGGAGCGCAGGCGGGACUGCAAGUUGGAUGUGAAAUACCGUGGCUUAACCACGGAACUGCAUCCAAAACUGUAGUUCUUGAGUGAAGUAGAGGCAAGCGGAAUUCCGAGUGUAGCGGUGAAAUGCGUAGAUAUUCGGAGGAACACCAGUGGCGAAGGCGGCUUGCUGGGCUUUAACUGACGCUGAGGCUCGAAAGUGUGGGGAGCAAACAGGAUUAGAUACCCUGGUAGUCCUCACUGUAGACGAUGAUAGCUAGGUGUGGGGGGUCUGACCCCUUCCGUGCCGGAGUUAACGCAAUAAGCUAUCCACCUGGGGAGUACGACCGCAAGGUUGCAACUCAAAGGAAUUGACGG